rnacentral:rRNA from 1 species
UAUCUCUGUAGAGUCUGCAUAUCAAUAAGCGGAGGAAAAGAAACUAACUAGGAUUCCCUCAGUAACGGCGAGUGAAGCGGGAAGAGCUCAAAUUUGAAAUCUUCAAGGUUCUACCUUGACGAAUUGUAGUUUAAAGAAGUGUUUUCUGUUGGAGUUUUGGUAAAAGUUCUUUGGAAUAGGACAUCAUAGAGGGUGAGAAUCCCGUAUUUGACCAUUAUUUCCAACUUUGUGAUACACUUUCAAAGAGUCGGAUUGUUUGGGAAUGCAGUCCAAAAUGGGUGGUAAAUUUCAUCUAAAGCUAAAUACUGGCGAGAGACCGAUAGCGAACAAGUACCGUGAGGGAAAGAUGAAAAGAACUUUGAAAAGAGAGUUAAACAGUACGUGAAAUUGUCAAAAGGGAAGCGUUUGACACCAGUGUUGUUUUCUCGAAAAUCAAUUAAAAAUGGCUGGAUUUUGUGUUGUAUUGACCUUAUAAGCUUUCUGCACUUUUUUCAUGUCUUUUUUAAUGCACUUUUCGUUUAACAAGUCAACAUCAAUUUCUUUUGUUGUAAAAGAGUCAUUGGAAGGUGGCUUUCACUUUCGGAUGAAAGUGUUUAUAGCCUUUGACUUCUGCAAUCGGAGAGAUUGAGGUCUGCAGCGUAGAUCCUUCGGGGUUAGAUACGUAGAUGCUAAGUUAUAGUUUUUUAUAGACAACUUGUUGACUAUAAUUAAUCAUGUAGCUUACUCGUCUGCGCUAUUUUACCUACGCUUAGGAUGUUGAUCUCUCACAGUCGAGC